CCUACGGGAGGCUGCAGUGGGGAAUAUUGCACAAUGGGCGCAAGCCUGAUGCAGCCAUGCCGCGUGUGUGAAGAAGGCCUUCGGGUUGUAAAGCACUUUCAGCGGGGAGGAAGGCGUUAAGGUUAAUAACCUUGGCGAUUGACGUUACCCGCAGAAGAAGCGCCGGCUAACUCCGUGCCAGCAGCCGCGGUAAUACGGAGGGUGCAAGCGUUAAUCGGAAUUACUGGGCGUAAAGCGCACGCAGGCGGUCUGUCAAGUCGGAUGUGAAAUCCCCGGGCUCAACCUGGGAACUGCAUUCGAAACUGGCAGGCUAGAGUCUUGUAGAGGGGGGUAGAAUUCCAGGUGUAGCGGUGAAAUGCGUAGAGAUCUGGAGGAAUACCGGUGGCGAAGGCGGCCCCCUGGACAAAGACUGACGCUCAGGUGCGAAAGCGUGGGGAGCAAACAGGAUUAGAUACCCGGGUAGUC
rnacentral:rRNA from 1 species